GACGAACGCUGGCGGCGUGCUUAACACAUGCAAGUCGAACGGAAAGGCCCUGCUUUUGUGGGGUGCUCGAGUGGCGAACGGGUGAGUAACACGUGAGUAACCUGCCCUUGACUUUGGGAUAACUUCAGGAAACUGGGGCUAAUACCGGAUAGGAGCCCCCGCUGCAUGGUGGGGGUUGGAAAGUUUCGGCGGUUGGGGAUGGACUCGCGGCUUAUCAGCUUGUUGGUGGGGUAGUGGCUUACCAAGGCUUUGACGGGUAGCCGGCCUGAGAGGGUGACCGGCCACAUUGGGACUGAGAUACGGCCCGGACUCCUACGGGAGGCAGCAGUGGGGAAUAUUGAACAAGGGGCGGAAGCCUGAUGCAGCAACGCCGCGUGCGGGAUGACGGCCUUCGGGUUGUAAACCGCUUUCGCCUGUGACGAAGCGUGAGUGACGGUAAUGGGUAAAGAAGCACCGGCUAACUACGUG
rnacentral:rRNA from 1 species